GACGGGGCCCGCACAAGCGGCGGAGCAUGCGGAUUAAUUCGAUGCAACGCGAAGAACCUUACCAAGGCUUGACAUACACCGGUAACGCCCAGAGAUGGGUGCCCCUUUGUGGUCGGUGGACAGGUGGUGCAUGGUUGUCGUCAGCUCGUGUCGUGAGAUGUUGGGUUAAGUCCCGCAACGAGCGCAACCCUCGUCCUAUGUUGCCAGCGGGUCAUGCCGGGGACUCAUGGGAGACUGCCGGGGUCAACUCGGAGGAAGGUGGGGAUGACGUCAAAUCAUCAUGCCCCUUAUGUCUUGGGCUUCACGCAUGCUACAAUGGCCGGUACAAAGGGCUGCGAUACCGCGAGGUGGAGCGAAUCCCAGAAAGCCGGUCUCAGUUCGGAUUGGGGUCUGCAACUCGACCUCAUGAAGUCGGAGUCGCUAGUAAUCGCAGAUCAGCAACGCUGCGGUGAAUACGUUCCCGGGCCUU
rnacentral:rRNA from 1 species